rnacentral:tRNA from 1 species
GCCCGCGUAGCUCAGCGGAUAGAGCGUCUGCCUCCGGAGCAGAAGGUCGUAGGUUCGAAUCCUGUCGCGGGCACCA